GAUGAAGAACGUAGCGAAAUGCGAUAAGUAAUGUGAAUUGCAGAAUUCAGUGAAUCAUCGAAUCUUUGAACGCAUCUUGCGCUCCUUGGUAUUCUGAGGAGCAUGCCUGUUUGAGUGUCAUUAAAUUCUCAACUACGCUGACUUUGAAUUGGUGUGGCUUGGAUUUGGGGGGAAAAUUGUUGUGGGCUUUUUGUAUAGUCUGCUCCCCUGAAAUUGAUUAGCGGUACCUUUGUGGAACUGUCUACAGGUGUGAUAAUUAUCUACAUCUUAGACAUCUGCUGGAAUGCUGCUUUCUAAACCUUACUUGUAUUGACAAUCUUGACCUCAAAUCAGGUAGGACUACCCGCUGAACUUAAGCAUAUCAAUAAGCGGAGGA
rnacentral:misc_RNA from 1 species